CCUACGGGAGGCAGCAGUGAGGAAUAUUGGUCAAUGGACGAGAGUCUGAACCAGCCAAGUAGCGUGAAGGAUGACUGCCCUAUGGGUUGUAAACUUCUUUUAUAUGGGAAUAAAAUGUUCCACGUGUGGGAUUUUGUAUGUACCAUAUGAAUAAGGAUCGGCUAACUCCGUGCCAGCAGCCGCGGUAAUACGGAGGAUCCGAGCGUUAUCCGGAUUUAUUGGGUUUAAAGGGGGCGGAGGUCGGUUGGUAAGUCCGUCGGUAAAGUUUGGGGGCUAAACGCAAAAUUGCAGUUGAAACUGGCAGCCUUGAGUAAAGUAGAGGUGGGCGGAAUGCGUGGUGUAGCGGUGAAAUGCAUAGAUAUCACGCAGAACGCCGAUUGCGAAGGCAGCUCACGGGCGUGCAACUGACACUGAGGCUCGAAAGUGUGGGUAUCAAACAGGAUUAGAUACCCGAGUAGUC
rnacentral:rRNA from 1 species